UUCCUUGGCGGCGAUUUACACAAAAAAUAGGAACGAAGAAGAAUGAACCCAUGAGGAGAGAAGAAGAUUUCUCUGGAAGAAUACAUUGAUUUCUCCUACUCUAGAAAGUCCAUCGACUUCACCAUCUCCUACCUCAAUUAGAUCGUACAUAUGCAAGGUUUCCGAAAGCUGCACAAAUGGAAUAAGGUAAUCACCGAUCAUCUCUUAAAAUCAAAAUCCUUAGAAAUUGACAAAGUGCUUCAGAUCUGUGACUGAAGCAGCAGCGAUAUCCUCCUACGUCGCAACCAUUCUAACAAUUUCCAGUUAAGGUUUUACUAUUCCAUAAUCUCACCUUCCAAACUGUUUUUCAUUUCUUCUUCUUCUAUGUUGUUACAACUGGGUUGAUGAAUUUCAGAUACAUUGGGUGCAUAAAAGAAAGAUAGUAUUAAGGUUUAGAAGUUUGGGCCAAACAACCCUAAGGACAAAGAGGAUAUUGGUUCACAUAGUGAAUUGUCGUCAUUAUAGUGAAUUAUUCUUUUGUACUUUUCGAUUUGAAAGAUAUUGUUUCAGUCUCUUAAUUUGUAUUGAAUUACAACCAUUUGAAGCCAGGAAUGUACUCGCCACAAGAUCUAUCUCAACGGCAAAUGAGAUGACAGAGGAAGAUGACCAAUUGGGUGACCAGAUUCAUGAAUUAAAGGUCUCCUUCUUCGUUAAAUAUUGGUGCUAUGUUGGCGGGUGAAUACAAGAUCUUGAAAAAUGGAAACAUAAGACGAUAUAUGCCAGAACAAUUGGGGAGGCUCUUCCUCUUAUUCUUCAAAGUUGCGUGAGCUGGUUUCUUCAGACGGAAUCCAGACCCUGGGAAGAUGCUUCAAUCUUGGAUUACGAGAUGGGUAUUGACUAUUAAGCCAGGUUUACUUUAAGACCAAAUGAAAGCUUCUUUGGGCAAAGACAACAACAAGUUUGAGAUUUCCUGCAAGGCGUUAAAGGUCAAGCUUGAGAUCCUAUGACGAUGCUGAGCAACCUGUACCUUAUUCACAAGUUUAUAUACAAAAGUUGUAUAAACUUUUUUUUUUAUUACGUACGUUUACUUUGUAAGACUGGUCAUUUGUAUCAUGGUUUCAUUUAUGAAAAUAAUAUAA